GUAUUGGCCUACCGUGGCAAUGACGGGUAACGGGGAAUUAGGGUUCGAUUCCGGAGAGGGAGCCUGAGAAACGGCUACCACAUCUAAGGAAGGCAGCAGGCGCGCAAAUUACCCAAUCCUAAUACAGGGAGGUAGUGACAAGAAAUAACAAUACAGGACUUUUUGGUUUUGUAAUUGGAAUGAGUUAAGUAUAAACCCCUUUACAAGUAUCAAUUGGAGGGCAAGUCUGGUGCCAGCAGCCGCGGUAAUUCCAGCUCCAAUAGCGUAUAUUAAAGUUGUUGCAGUUAAAAAGCUCGUAGUUGGAUUUCUGUUAAUAAUUUAUAUAUUAUACUUUUUAAGGUGUUUAUAUAAUAUUAACAUAAUUCAUAUUACUAUUUUUAGUAUAUGAAAUUUUACUUUGAGAAAACUAGAGUGCUUAAAGCAGGCGUUAGCCUUGAAUACUCCAGCAUGGAAUAAUAUUAAAGAUUUUUGUCUUUCUUAUUGGUUCUAAGAUAAGAAUAAUGAUUAAUAGGGACAGUUGGGGGCAUUUGUAUUUAA
rnacentral:rRNA from 1 species